AACGAACGCUGGCGGCAGGCUUAACACAUGCAAGUCGAACGCCCCGCCAGGGGAGUGGCAGACGGGUGAGUAACGCGUGGGAACAUACCCUUUUCUACGUAAUAUCUCUGGGAAACUGGAAUUAAUACCGUAUACGCCCUACGGGGGAAAGAUUUAUCGGGGAAGGAUUGGCCCGCGUUGGAUUAGCUAGUUGGUGGGGUAAAGGCCUACCAAGGCGACGAUCCAUAGCUGGUCUGAGAGGAUGACCAGCCACAUUGGGACUGAGACACGGCCCAAACUCCUACGGGAGGCAGCGGUGGGGAAUAUUGGACAAUGGGCGCAAGCCUGGUCCAGCCAUGCCGCGUGAGUGAUGAAGGGCUUAGGAUUGUAAAGCUCUUUCACCGAUGAAGAUAAUGACGGUAGUCGGAGAAGAAGCCCCGGCUAACUUCGUG
rnacentral:rRNA from 1 species